rnacentral:rRNA from 1 species
ACAGAGGGUGCGAGCGUUAAUCGGAAUUACUGGGCGUAAAGCGCACGUAGGCGGCUUUGCAAGUCGGGUGUGAAAUCCCCGGGCUCAACCUGGGAACUGCAUCCGAGACUGCUUUGCUCGAGUAUGGGAGAGGGAAGUGGAAUUUCCGGUGUAGCGGUGAAAUGCGUAGAUAUCGGAAGGAACAUCAGUGGCGAAGGCGACUUCCUGGACCAAUACUGACGCUCAGGUGCGAAAGCGUGGGGAGCAAACAGGA